CCGGAGCUAACGCGUUAAAUCGACCGCUGGGGAGUACGGCCGCAAGGUUAAAACUCAAAUGAAUUGACGGGGGCCCGCACAAGCGGUGGAGCAUGUGGUUUAAUUCGAUGCAACGCGAAGAACCUUACCUGGUCUUGACAUCCAUAGAAUCUUUCAGAGAUGAGAGAGUGCCUUCGGGAGCUAUGAGACAGGUGCUGCAUGGCUGUCGUCAGCUCGUGUUGUGAAAUGUUGGGUUAAGUCCCGCAACGAGCGCAACCCUUAUCCUUUGUUGCCAGCGGUUCGGCCGGGAACUCAAAGGAGACUGCCGUUGAUAAAGCGGAGGAAGGUGGGGACGACGUCAAGUCAUCAUGGCCCUUACGACCAGGGCUACACACGUGCUACAAUGGCGUAUACAAAGGGAAGCGAAGGAGCGAUCUGGAGCGGACCUCCUAAAGUACGUCUAAGUCCGGAUUGGAGUCUGCAACUCGACUCCAUGAAGUCGGAAUCGCUAGUAAUCGUGAAUCAGAAUGUCACGGUGAAUACGUUCCCGGGCCUUGUACACACCGCCCGUCACACCAUGGGAGUGGGUUGCACCAGAAGUAGAUAGCUUAACCGAAAGGGGGGCGUUUACCACGGUGUGAUUCAUGACUGGGGUGAAGUCGUAACAAGGUAACCA
rnacentral:rRNA from 1 species